rnacentral:rRNA from 1 species
UACGGAGGGUGCGAGCGUUGUUCGGAAUUACUGGGCGUAAAGCGCGUGUAGGCGGCCUUGCAAGUCAGGCGUGAAAGCCCUCGGCUUAACCGGGGAAGUGCGUCUGAAACUGCUUGGCUUGAGUACGGGAGAGGGAGGCGGAAUUCCCAGUGUAGAGGUGAAAUUCGUAGAUAUUGGGAGGAACACCGGUGGCGAAAGCGGCCUCCUGGACCGAUACUGACGCUGAGACGCGAAAGCGUGGGGAGCAAACAGGAUUAGAUACCCUGGUAGUCCACGCGGUAAACGAUGGGCACUAGGUGUGGGGGGUAUCCACUCCUCCCGUGCCGAAGCUAACGCAUUAAGUGCCCCGCCUGGGGAGUACGGCCGCAAGGUUAAA